rnacentral:lncRNA from 1 species
GUGGUUUUGGUGGUUUGUUUCUGCUUUUUUGUUUGUUUUUGUUUUUUUUGCAGGUUUGGGUUCUGGACGUUAAGCCCUCGAGGGGCCCCCGGGACCCAUCAGGGCCUGGGACGGCUGGGGACACACUCCUCGGAUGCCAGACUCCUCCUGCGAGGGCGAGUUAGGGUCCCAUGAAACGGCCUGAGAGGCCCCCGAUCCCCCAGCACAGCGAUCCUGGCCCCCUCCACCCUCCCGAGCCACGUGGUUUCCUACACUCACCUGUCCUGAGUCUGCUUGGGGGCAUCUGUCGUUCAAGGUCCUGUGGCCGGGGGAAGGCUCACCCAGUUCUCCCCGCAUCCCAGCGAGGGAGGCGCUAACAGCAUCCCCUCUGGCAGGUGGGGAAACUGAUCCACAUUCGUGCCUGCGGCAUCGACCCUGUGGCCCCCAGGUCGUGUGCACCCUGCCUCUGCGCGCUCACCGCCAGGCUGUCCUGUCCCCUUGCUGUCUCUUCUUGUUGCUUCAGGCGCCCGCGCUGAUACCAGGCUGAGGCUCCGAGAUCGGUUCUCACCAUUCGGCUCCCGCAUGUGCUGCGCGGCCUUUGCAGCCUGACCUUUCACAGGUGUUCUUUGCGCCCUCGCCCACCUCCCCGGGCA